rnacentral:rRNA from 1 species
UACGAAGGGGGGCUAGCGUUGCUCGGAAUCACUGGGCGUAAAGCGCACGUAGGCGGAUUGUUAAGUCAGGGGGUGAAAUCCUGGAGCUCAACUCCAGAACUGCCUUUGAUACUGGCGAUCUCGAGUCCGGGAGAGGUGAGUGGAACUGCGAGUGUAGAGGUGAAAUUCGUAGAUAUUCGCAAGAACACCAGUGGCGAAGGCGGCUCACUGGCCCGGUACUGACGCUGAGGUGCGAAAGCGUGGGGGAGCAAACAGG